CGGCAUGAUCCUAUUUUGUUGGUUUCUAGGGUCACCGUAAUGAUUAAUAGGGAUAGUUGGGGGCAUUAGUAUUCAAUUGUCAGAGGUGAAAUUCUUGGAUUUAUUGAAGACUAACUACUGCGAAAGCAUUUGCCAAGGAUGUUUUCAUUAAUCAAGAACGAAAGUUAGGGGAUCGAAGACGAUCAGAUACCGUCGUAGUCUUAACCAUAAACUAUGCCGACUAGGAAUCAGACUCAGUUUAUUUUUUAAUGACGAGUUUGGCACCUUACGGGAAACCAAGAGUGUUUGGGUUCCGGGGGGAGUAUGGUCGCAAGGCUGAAACUUAAAGGAAUUGACGGAAGGGCACCACCAGGGGUGGAGCCUGCGGCUUAAUUUGACUCAACACGGGGAAACUCACCAGGUCCAGAG
rnacentral:rRNA from 1 species